UUUCAAUCCCUUCUCUCUCUCUUUCUCUCUCUCUCUCUCUCUUUCUCCAUCCAAAAGAACUAUUUAAACUCGACAAAAGCUCAUCUCUUGCUGCAAUUGCGUUUGUCUCCCUCCUCAUCUCUCUCUGUCUCUCUUUCUCUCUCUCUCUCAAUACCAUCAUACAGUUCUCCAUCACUUGCACUUGUCUCUUCUCCUAAUCAGGUUUUGGGUCCGAAGCAAUCCAAAACCAAGCCACUUCCACGGCAAACAAGAUGCCAAACAGGCGAUCUCGCUCAACGCAGUCGGGCUCUCCGGGGAUCACCGACGACCACAUCAUGGAACUCAUGUCCAAGCUGCAAGCUUUGCUCCCCGACCACCACCGCACUCGCAGCAGCAAAAGGGUAUCACGGAGUCAUCUAAAAUGUCGGCAGAUGAGGUCUUACAGGACUCGUGCAGCUACAUCAGGAGAUUGCACCAACAAGUGGAUGGCUUAAGCGAAAGGCUCGCACGUUUACUCGCCAUGUCCGGCAUGAACGAUGCUGAGGUCGCCGUGGUUCGUCGCCUUCUUCAUAUGUGAUUUGCUUGGCAUCGGAAGGUUCAAUGCUCAUAUGUAUGGUGGUGUGAAUCUGAGAACCCCUAUUGUUGUUGUUGA